GCUGGCGGCAAGCCUCUACAUGCAAGUCGAACGAGAAAGCAUCUUCGGAUGUGAGUAAAGUGGCGGACGGGUGAGUAAUACAUAGGAAUCUACCCAAUGGCGGGGGACAGCUCGAGGAAACUCGAAUUAAUACCGCAUAAUCUCUACGGAGUAAAGAGGGCUUCGGCUCUCACCAUCGGAUGAGCCUAUGCAAGAUUAGCUUGUUGGUAAGGUAAUGGCUUACCAAGGCAACGAUCUUUAGCUGGUUUGAGAGGAUGACCAG
rnacentral:rRNA from 1 species